AUUAAACGGCACAGUACGGAAUAUAGGAACGAUCCAAAAUGGCAGCCUCCACGGCCGCAUAUGAAAAUUGGUUAACAGAAAAGCUGCUGUCGUUGAACCCUGACACUGAUACAGAUGUUUUUGUGUCAUACAUCACAGGAAUUUUUGAUGAAGAUGCUCCUGAAGAUGAAAAGAAAGAAUCAGUAAUCGAGUUGAUCGGACAAGUCGUGGAGGAGAACCACCAGUGUGUUUGUGAUGAAUUAUUCAAGAAAUGGGAGGAAAUCCAUGGUUCUGCAUCACAGUCUUCCGGCAGGGGAGAUGCAGGGGAGCUGACAGACCAUCUUGCUGUUAUACUGGAGAAACAAAAGAUUGAGACAGUGAAAACUCGAGAGAAAACAGCAGAAGAAGUUGCAAGGAAGGCAGCUAUCCUAGCACAGUAUGGUCAUGUGUCUAGUGGGGAGGAUGAUGACGAAGAUGAUGAUGAUGCAGGAAGAGAUAAUUCAGGGCAAGACAGUGAUUUAAUGAACUUUAAAAAUGUGAAUGCUGAAUCUGUGAAAAAAAAUGAACUUGAAAUGAGAGAAAAAUCCAAACUGGAGGCAGAGAAGAAAAAAGAAAAGGACAAGCAAGAUAGAGAGAUGCAAAAACAAAAACAGAAAGAAAGAAAGGAAGGAGAGAAAAAACGAACACAGAAGGGAGAGAGGAGGAGAUGACGACAGUGAAUCCUAGUUUAGAAUUGAUGCUUCUCCAUUUUCAUGAAGUUUUUGAGCAAUUUAUUUCCACAUGUUUUCAUUAUCAAUCUGUAAAAAUAUAAACAGUGUUAUAUUUGCAAGACAGACAAAGGUUGUUUAAAUUUAAAUAGACUUUUGCCAUAUCUUCAAAAUUAGUGAUUGAAGGAAUAGUAAUGUAAAUAUGUUAAAAACCUACAUUGUAUCUGCUAUAAAUGUUACAAAUCUUGAACUGUUUCCUUGCAUAAUAUUUGGGGUUUCUUUGUUAUUUAUUUAAUUGAGUGAUUAAGCAUCUUCGAGUAGGACAGCAACAUUUUCAUGGUAUCAACUUUGUGUAUGAUGGUUUUUUUCUUCAAACAAUUUACCUGCAAAACUUCUUUAAAAAACCGUGAUACUUUUUGAAGAAUAAGAAUGUAAAUCUUCAGUGAGAUACUUUAUCUGUUGAGUACAAGUUUCAGUGAGAUACUGUAUCUGUUCAGUAAGGUACUGUAUCUGUUCAGUGAGAUACUGUAUCUGUUGAGUACAAGUUUCAGUGAGAUACUGUAUCUGUUCAGUGAGAUACUGUAUCUGUUCAGUGAGAUACUGUAUCUGUUCAGUGAGAUACUUGAGGUACUGUAUCUGUUGAGUACACGUUUUAGUGAGAUACUGUAUCUGUUCAGAAAGAUACUGUAACUGUUGAGUACAAGUUUCAGUGAGAUACUGUAUCUGUUCAGUGAGGUACUUUAUCUGUUCAGUGAGAUACUGUAUCUGUUCAGAAAGAUACUGUAACUGUCGAGUACAAGUUUCAGUGAGAUACUGUAUCUGUUCAGUGAGGUACUGUAUCUGUUCAGUGAGAUACUGUAUCUGUUCAGAAAGAUACUGUAACUGUUGAGUACAAGUUUCAGUGAGAUACUGUAUCUGUUCAGUGAGAUACUUGAGGUACUGUAUCUGUUCGGUGAGGUACUGUAUCUGUUCAGUGAGGUACUGUAUCUGUUCAGUGAGAUACUUGAGAUACUGUAUCUGUUGAGUACAAGUUUCAGUGAGAUACUGUAUCUGUUCAGUGAGGUACUGUAUCUGUUCAGUGAGAUACUGUAUCUGUUCAGUGAGAUACUGUAUCUGUUCAGUGAGAUACUGUAUCUGUUCAGUGAGGUACUGUAUCUGUUCAGUGAGAUACUGUAUCUGUUCAGUGAGAUACUUAAGAUACUGUAUCUGUUGAGUACAAGUUUCAGUGAGAUACUGUAUCUGUUCAGUGAGGUACUGUAUCUGUUCAGUGAGAUACUGUAUCUGUUCAGUGAGAUACUUAAGAUACUGUAUCUGUUGAGUACAAGUUUCAGUGAGAUACUGUAUCUGUUCAGUGAGAUACUGUAUCUGUUCAGUGAGGUACUGUAUCUGUUCAGUGAGAUACUUGAGAUACUGUAUCUGUUGAGUACAAGUUUCACAAGGUAAGUCAAUGGGAAAAACAAUUUUGAUGACGUUAUUGCAUAUAGAAUAAAAUUAUUAGAUACUGUGAAAUCAUUUGAUUUCGUUUACAUGAAAUUUUGUGGUUUGGGUCAAAAAGGCAAUUUCGUGCGGAUAUGAAUUUGUGGAUUUCAACUUUUGAAUAUAAAUGAAUAGGAAUUUUACUAGUUUGCUGAGAUUAAAUUUUGUCAAUUCACUCAACCACGAAAUCCUUGAAAAUUAGUCCCCCACAAAUACUUAUGAUUUCACAGGAAUUGAUUUAACCCUUUUCAUGCUGGACACGAUUGGUUAUGCCUUUGCAGCCAGUGUAGAUCAUGAUCAGCCUGCACAUCCCUGCAGUCUGGUCAUGAUCUGCACUGUUCGCUCUUAAGUCAGUAUCUCUUUGGUAAGCAUCCCUUUUGACAGUUAAUGGUACUGUCGAAAUUGAAAAAUGGACAAGUCCAUUAUAGAAAUUCAGCAGGGUAAGGGUUAAUAUCUUGUAGAGCCUGAGUUAAGUUAGUUUGGAAAAUAUUGAGGUUUUAUGUUCUAAUUUGAUUUAAUGAAGUUAAUAAAUGAAUAUGUAGUAAAAUUGCAAAUUGGGAGUGUUUACAUUUAUAUUUAGCAUGCAUUGUUAAUUAAAGCAUUGUUACAAUA
rnacentral:misc_RNA from 1 species